CACGUAGUUAGCCGGGGCUUUCUUCUCAGGUACCGUCACUCCGUUAGCAGUUACUCUAACGGACGUUCUUCCCUGGCAACAGAGCUUUACGAUCCGAAAACCUUCAUCACUCACGCGGCGUUGCUCCGUCAGACUUUCGUCCAUUGCGGAAGAUUCCCUACUGCUCGCCUCCCGUAGGAGUCUGGGCCGUGUCUCAGUCCCAGUGUGGCCGUUCACCCUCUCAGGUCGGCUACGCAUCGUCGCCUUGGUGAGCCGUUACCCCACCAACUAGCUAAUGCGCCGCAGGCCCAUCCGUAAGUGACAGAUUGCUCCGCCUUUCCCAAGUCCCGUCAUGCGAGAGACUUGCGUAUCCGGUAUUACGCUACCGUUUCCGGUUAGUUAUCCCAGUCUUACGGGCAGGUUGCCUACGUGUUACUCACCCGUCCGCCGCUAAGUUUACUCAGGUAGCAAGCUCCUGAUAAACUCCGCUCGACUUGCAUGUAUUAGGCACGCCGCCAGCGUUCGUCCGUCGCGUCGACGUACGUAACC
rnacentral:rRNA from 1 species